rnacentral:tRNA from 1 species
AGAGAAAUGGCUGAGUGGCUGAAGGCGGAGAUCUGCUAAAUCUUUAUAUAAAGUUAAAUUAUAUCGAGGGUUCGAAUCCCUCUUUCUCUA